CGCCGCGUGAGGGACGACGGCCUUCGGGUUGUAAACCUCUUUUAGUAGGGAAGAAGGGCUUCGGUCUGACGGUACCUGCAGAAAAAGCACCGGCUAACUACGUGCCAGCAGCCGCGGUAAUACGUAGGGUGCAAGCGUUAUCCGGAAUUAUUGGGCGUAAAGAGCUCGUAGGCGGUUUGUCGCGUCUGCUGUGAAAACUGGAGGCUCAACCUCCAGCCUGCAGUGGGUACGGGCAGACUAGAGUGCGGUAGGGGAGAUUGGAAUUCCUGGUGUAGCGGUGGAAUGCGCAGAUAUCAGGAGGAACACCGAUGGCGAAGGCAGAUCUCUGGGCCGUAACUGACGCUGAGGAGCGAAAGCAUGGGGAGCGAACAGGAUUAGAUACCCUGGUAGUCCAUGCCGUAAACGUUGGGAACUAGAUGUAGGGACCAUUCCACGGUUUCUGUGUCGCAGCUAACGCAUUAAGUUCCCCGCCUGGGGAGUACGGCCGCAAGGCUAAAACUCAAAGGAAUUGACGGGGGCCCGCACAAGCGGCGGAGCAUGCGGAUUAAUUCGAUGCAACGCGAAGAACCUUACCAAGACUUGACAUAUACGAGAACGGGCUAGAAAUAGUUCACUCUUUGGACACUCGUAAACAGGUGGUGCAUGGUUGUCGUCAGCUCGUGUCGUGAGAUGUUGGGUUAAGUCCCGCAACGAGCGCAACCCUCGUUCUUUGUUGCCAGCACGUAAUGGUGGGAACUCAAAGGAGACUGCCGGGGUCAACUCGGAGGAAGGU
rnacentral:rRNA from 2 species